ACUCCUACGGGAGGCAGCAGUGGGGAAUUUUGGACAAUGGGCGCAAGCCUGAUCCAGCAAUGCCGCGUGAGUGAAGAAGGCCUUCGGGUUGUAAAGCUCUUUUGUCAGGGAAGAAACGGUAGAGGCUAAUAUCCUUUGCUAAUGACGGUACCUGAAGAAUAAGCACCGGCUAACUACGUGCCAGCAGCCGCGGUAAUACGUAGGGUGCAAGCGUUAAUCGGAAUUACUGGGCGUAAAGCGUGCGCAGGCGGUUUUGUAAGUCUGACGUGAAAUCCCCGGGCUCAACCUGGGAAUUGCGUUGGAGACUGCAAGGCUAGAAUCUGGCAGAGGGGGGUAGAAUUCCACGUGUAGCAGUGAAAUGCGUAGAGAUGUGGAGGAACACCGAUGGCGAAGGCAGCCCCCUGGGUCAAGAUUGACGCUCAUGCACGAAAGCGUGGGGAGCAAAGCAGGAUUAGAUACCCUGGUAG
rnacentral:rRNA from 1 species